rnacentral:rRNA from 1 species
GCAUAAAAAACCCUCCGAAUGUUUAUAACCAAGACCAACAAGUCUAAGUAACUUAAAAAACAUAUUUGACCCAAACAAUUUGAUCAACGGACCA